AGCGAACGCUAGCGGCGGGCUUAACACAUGCAAGUCGAGCGCCUUACUUCGGUAAGGAGCGGCGGACGGGUGAGUAACACGUAGGGUUAUCUGCCCCGGGGUGAGGGACAACUGAGGGAAACUUCAGCUAAAUACCACAUAUGGCCUACGGGUCAAAGGCUUCGGCCGCCCGUGGGAUGAGCCUGCGUCCCAUUAUUUAAUCCUAGUUGGUGGGGUAAUGGCCUACCAAGGGGUACGAUGGGUAGCUGGUUUGAGAGAAUGAUCAGCCACACUGGAACUGAGACACGGUCCAGACUCCUACGGGAGGCAGCAGUGGGGAAUAUUGC
rnacentral:rRNA from 1 species